rnacentral:rRNA from 1 species
AUCGAACGCUGCGGCAGGCCUAACACAUGCAAGUCGAGCGCGCGGCGGACGGGGUAGUAAUGCUUAGGAUACUGCCUAUUAGUGGUGGCCAUCAUCGCGAAAGGGAUGCUAAUACCGCAUACUAAUAGUUCAGCCUCAGUCGGAUUAGCUAGUUGGUGGGGUAAAGGCCUACUAAGGCGACGAUUCGUAGCCGGACUGGGAGGAGGAUCCGCCACACUGGGACUGGGACACGGCCCAGACUCCUACGGGAGGCAGCAGUAGGGAAUCUUGGGCAAUGGGGGGAACCCUGACCCAGCCACGCCGCGUGAUUGAAGAAGGUCUUAGGGUUGUAAAGCUCUUUUAGUGAGGAAGCGUUACUCACAGAAUAAGGGCCGGCUAACUCUGUGCCAGCAGCCGCGGUAAUAC